rnacentral:rRNA from 1 species
CACUCCUGCGGGAGGCAGCAGUGGGGAAUUUUGGACAAUGGGCGAAAGCCUGAUCCAGCAAUGCCGCGUGCAGGAUGAAGGCCUUCGGGUUGUAAACUGCUUUUGUACGGAACGAAAAAGCUCCUUCUAAUACAGGGGGCCCAUGACGGUACCGUAAGAAUAAGCACCGGCUAACUACGUGCCAGCAGCCGCGGUAAUACGUAGGGUGCGAGCGUUAAUCGGAAUUACUGGGCGUAAAGCGUGCGCAGGCGGUUAUGUAAGACAGAUGUGAAAUCCCCGGGCUCAACCUGGGAACUGCAUUUGUGACUGCAUGGCUAGAGUACGGUAGAGGGGGAUGGAAUUCCGCGUGUGGCAGUGAAAUGCGUAGAUAUGCGGAGGAACACCGAUGGCGAAGGCAAUCCCCUGGACCUGUACUGACGCUCAUGCACGAAAGCGUGGGGAGCAAACAGGAUUAGAAACCCGAGUAGUCCCAUG